GUGCUUGCUUCAGCAGCACAUAUACUAAAAUUGGAACUAUACAGAGAAGAUUAGCAUGGCCCCUGCACAAGAAUGACAUGCAAAUUCAUGAAGCAUUCCAUAUUUUU
ensembl:snRNA U6 U6 spliceosomal RNA